CACCGAGAUUCAACAUGGAACGAGUGGCGGACGGGUGAGUAACACGUGGGUAACCUGCCCUUAAGUGGGGGAUAACAUUUGGAAACAGAUGCUAAUACCGCAUAGAUCCAAGAACCGCAUGGUUCUUGGCUGAAAGAUGGCGUAAGCUAUCGCUUUUGGAUGGACCCGCGGCGUAUUAGCUAGUUGGUGAGGUAAUGGCUCACCAAGGCGAUGAUACGUAGCCGAACUGAGAGGUUGAUCGGCCACAUUGGGACUGAGACACGGCCCAAACUCCUACGGGAGGCAGCAGUAGGGAAUCUUCCACAAUGGACGCAAGUCUGAUGGAGCAACGCCGCGUGAGUGAAGAAGGCUUUCGGGUCGUAAAACUCUGUUGUUGGAGAAGAAUGGUCGGCAGAGUAACUGUUGCCGGCGUGACGGUAUCCAACCAGAAAGCCACGGCUAACUACGUGCCAGCAGCCGCGGUAAUACGU
rnacentral:rRNA from 1 species